UUGCACAGGGCAGAUACAGAGGAACACCUUGCUUAAGUUUCUCUGUAGGGAACUGGCAGGGAAAUGGUGGAUGAAAUAGCUUAAAUGACAAGCAUUAGAUAGCCUGAAAAGCAUGGACAUCCAAAUCCAUGUUCCCGGCAUGCACAUGCGAGCUGGGGGCGGCUCUUACAGAUUUGAAUGAGGAGAGUCACUUUCGGCGCCAUUUUCGAGUGAGCAGCGAUAACAUCAACACUGAGAGCGCGGAUGGAAAGACAGUGCGCGCGACGCUUCGUCUCUAAAUAUGAGAUUUUGUUACCCGAAUGUGGAAAAACAACCAUAUCAGACAGCAAAAUCGCCUGACAUCUGAUGCGGACGACCACAGGAGUGACCAUUACGAACCGAUUCUGCAGCCGGAGAAGAAAAGGGGGUCUGUCGUUUUCAGCUGCGUAUUUAGAAAACCAGCGAUUUUUUUUUGUUGUUGUUGUAAAUAAAUAAAGAAAAAUAGCGCUCGAUGCAAGGAAAAAUAUAGAAAAAUUCUGGAAAAUGCGGCAGGGUCCUAAGAUUGGGAUUCAUCCAGGCAACGGCGAAGAACGGGUCAUUUUGGUGUUUUUUCACGUCGCUUUUUGAGCGGGAGUAACGGACGUGCUGCUGGCGCAGAUGCACACUGAUGCAUCGGAACCAUCGGAGCCGGAGAGGAGUCCUUGUAGUGCACACGGCAGGAGACUGAGCUGUGACAAAGUUAAGUGACUGUUGAGAAACGCGGAUGUGUGGGCGUGUGCCUCACGUGAGAGUGUGCGUGCGUGCUUUGUGCGGGUCCUGUUGGUACUGUAGCAGCACAGAAUGGUUUGUGAGUUAUAACGGAGGUGCAGGCCGUACUGUGCUGCGGCAAGAACGACAGGACAGAUGCUCACUUCACAUUCAAACGGGUGAAAGAGAGAGAGAGGGAGGAUGGGAAAAGUAGGCAACAACAGCAGCAGCAGCAGCAGCAGCAAGACUACAUGUGUAUGUGUGACUGAGUCUCCUGAACUUGACCGUGUGACUGACUGGCUGCCUGGCUGUAGCAGCACGUAAAUAUUGGAGUCAAAGCACUAGCGAAUCCUCCAGUAUUGACCGUGCUGCUGGAGUUAGGCGGGCCGUUUACCGUCCUCUGGUGUCUCCGGGGUCCUUCAUCUCUUCAGGACUGCACGAGAAGUACAAUUAAUCAACGAGAUUAUAUGUAAAUACAGAUUUUUAUAUAUUGCAUUUAUUUACUGUAGACCGUUGAUGUUGCAGUUUGAAUAUGAAGUUCUAUUUAAAACCAUUGUCAAAGAUAUACUCAUUUUAAUCUGCUUUAGGUCAAAUCCAUCUGUGAAAUAUUUAUUCUUAGUUUAGAAAUGAUUUGAUUGUUGAUAAUUUGAUGUAUAUGAAAAAUGCAAUAAAGGAAAAAUAUCAUUAAAAUCAUUACAAUGAGAACAAUUGCAUCAAGCUUAAUUAUUUGUACUAAGUUAUACAUCUGCAGAUCCACUUAAAUGCAUGAAGCCAACACAUUUCUCUCAAGUAGGCUAAAUUGGUACUCUUAAGUAAAAUCAAUAGGAUUAUAUCUGCGUUCACAUGUUCCUGAUAAUGUGCUGUUUUUUUUUUUUUUUUUUUUGCAUGAAUCUCAAAAUAACCUAUAAUAUCUACUAUAAUAACAAGCACUUCACCAAUUAACUGUCCUGAUCGAAGAAAAUCACUUAAACAGUUCGUUUCAUAUUUUAGUAUUGGGCAUCGAUACUUGCAAUGACCUUUCAUCUUUCUUCUCACGCGUUGCAUUUUAAAUAACGCAGCAUCGCCAUCUUCUGGGAAACAUUGAUUCCCUUUUCUUCUUUAAAGUCUUUAGGGGAGGGUUGCUGACAGAAUCACAUCGUGGAUCGACCCCUUUGGUACUUUGCGCUGUUUGUUUGUGUUCCCGCGUUUCUUCUCGGUAAGGGUUGUUAAUAUCAAGUAUAUUUACACACUCCCUAUCUGUAACACUCGUUAUCCUCGGGCGAAACUGACUGGAACCAUCCUUCAAAUCUGUGUCCAACAGGCCAAGAACAUUCACAGAAGUUUCGUUUGGAUCAAUUGCACAGAAAUCUGCCAAAUAUGCACAGGAAAGAUGCCAAAGUAUUGGACACAAAAUGCAAACUUUUGAGGGUUCUUCAGCGUAUGGCCGAGAGAUCCUCAUGGCCAAAAAUCACAGAGUCGCGUCUGCCCUGAAUAAAUUAUGUUAGUCCCAAUUAAAAACGUGUUUAGAAUUGACUUCAGAACAUUGUCAACCCAAAUACACGGUCACACAAAGACCCGCUUGUUUCAGUGCACCUGAACCCGAACCUACAGGGCAGAGCUCUGCUAUUCAUCUUAAGGAUGGAUGGAGAGGGUCGGUGGCGAUAAAAUCGUAUGUUUGGUCGUUCUGUAAGUCCUCCUAAAGUUAAGCUGCCGGACGAGAAGACUUUGAAGGAACUCUGAUUAUCUUGGACGGAGGAGCGCUACUCCGGGACCUCACAUUGCUGAUGGCAGUGGUUUCUACUAAAAAAAAAAACAGCCCUGUUGACCAAGUAAUUUGACCAUUUCUCAUGUAAGGAAAAAUAAAAUGUCCAGUUCCUGUCAAUGAACACCUGGCCAUAAUUUUUUUUUUUUUUUUUUUUCUUUAAUGAACGUCUGCAGCGUCCAGAAUUUAUGCUUCUCUUGAGUUGGAUAUCUCCAUAUAGGAUUGACACUUGAGUGGUGAUUUAUCCUCUAAAUUAGAAAGUGUGGAAACACUGACCUCACUUAUUAUUUUACUCAUUCAAACUCUUAAUCUCAGUUGGUGCAGGACAUUUGAUUGGUCAAUGGUACACAAAACACGUGCGGCCUUAUGGAUCGUAAAACGGCUCUUUAA